UUAAUAUAAAUAGAAAGUUUACUUCAAAAAUCAGAAAACUGUUGUAAAAUCGACGAUAGGUGCAGUGGAUUAAAUGAAACAAGACACAAAAUUUACGAGGUUCCUCUACAGUCAGUGUGACUGGAGUACGUCCUCGGGGCAGUAGUAGUGCUUUCAUUAUAAUUUGGAAUAAUAGGAAUACAAAGAUAACUCUCUCUAUUAUCUCCUCUCCUCUCUCUCUCUCUUUUCUCUCUUCCUCUCUUCCUUCCUAUCUCUCCCGUGAGUCUCUCACUUCUCUCUUAGUUUUGUUGUGUUCCAUAAGACUUGCUUUUAUAGAAGCAAGUCACAAGCAACAUAGUGAAAAGCAAAUUAGUGGCUAGCCAUCUAGUCACCUUUACAACACCCCCCAUUGGAUAACCACAAGUCUUCAAUUGACUCGUUAAAAUCUUGAUCUGUUUUGAAUGCUCCCCCUGAUGAAUAUCACCCCCUGAUUUCAAAUCAUUAGGCUGAUUGUUGAUCAUCUUGCUUCAGUCUCUUAGCGAGAAGAGUUGCCAAAAUAAAUGAUUUACUUGUUGUUAACUUUCUACAAGCCUGUUCUUAAACUGGGUUGGAGGGCCUUCUGCUAGACUUACUCCAAAGGUCUGAAUUUACUCAUUUUAUCUGGAGCGGAAUUUGAUUCAAGGGUGGUGGACACUUGAUCUUGAAUCGGACUUGUGAUUUCUUAAAGGGCUUCGAGGUUUGAUCUUGAAUGAAAGUGGACCAUGAGGAGAUUAAAGUGGCAAGUGAUCUUCGGUUUUGUCGGGGAUGAAUCAGCACGUGUUUAUUGCGUUUGUCUCCACAUACUUCAAUGUAUUAUUUUCACUUACCUUACUUGCUAUCCUUGUUUAAGUAGUAUUUUCCCUGGUUUUCCCCCAUGCGUGUGUGGCAUAUUCUCCUGCAGUAUUUGCCCUCUGAUGCAGGAGUGGAAUGCAACCCUUGCACUUGGAUGGUUCAUCACUUCUUGGUGACUGGAGACCCAGUUCCAACAACAGUUGAAGAUGGCUACACGAGAGCAAUACUAGGUAAGCAAUCAAGAAAGGUUCCAGGCAGUCGGUUCCUUACCAGGAGUUUGAGUGGAGGUUCCGACAUAUUGCUUUCUUUAUCCUUGUCUUUGCAAGUAAGAACACGGAUAAAGGAAAGGACAUAGAGAUUGCAUGAUAUGAGAUACUCUUGCUUUCAUCCCUGAAGAUAUGAGAUACUCUUGCUCUGGUGUGACUUGUUUUGAAGAGGUAUUAUUGGAGAGGAAGAAAACUGAGUAUUUCGAGAUGCUUUGUUGAAGAUGUAUUCUCAGAGAUGAGGAAGAGUUAGGUAUUCUUGCAGGUCUGCCUUGUUAUGAAGAACAGAUAUCGACAUAUAUAGAGAUUUUUCAAUAGCAAGUAGUGGUGAUGUGCCUUUACUCUUGUCAGCAACUGUGGUGUAAUUAGAACAGUAAGAUUUACAACUUUGUCAGAGAUCUUUGACAAAGUUGCACGCGAUUUGACAAAGUUGCAUGCGAUAUAAAAAAAAGCUGAGAUUGUGUUUGAAAAAUGCCAACGAACUUUAUUCAGGAAAAUCUGGCUUUUGAAAUUAGGAUAGCGGUGCCUCUUCGAUCUCUAAACAAGUGGCUCUGUUGCCUCUUCUUUUAUAGAGACAUAAAUUGUGUUCAAGAGUAUGCUCAGAAAGUUGCUGCCUGUAGAAAUUUCUUCCUUCUUGCACUUCUGAAAUUUUACUUGACCUCUUUUUUCCUUCAUCAUUUCUGAAAAUGACUUGCCCAUCUAACAUUUGCUUAGAUUUGAGUCUUAGGAGUGAUACAGACGAGCAGCGUCAGGAUAAUAUAUGGCGCCCAUCCUUCUUAUCUUCUAAUGGUCCUCUUACGGUUGGGACUCUGUGAUGAAGAAUAACGUAACCGCUACUGUGGUAGCUAGGAAUCUUCUCACUCCAAAGGAUAACAUGAUCAUUUCAAAACGGUCUGAUGAGUCGGCCGUUCAAGACUUUUUAACUCUCAUUGUUCAGUGUGCGGGCUCUGUAUUCAAUAUGGGCCAACGCCUACUUGCUCAAACUCGCCAAGUUGAAUCAUUGAUGGCUGAGGUGGCAAGUCUUAAACAAGAGAUCAAAGGGCUUAAGCACGAGAAUAGAGUGUUACACGUGCUUGCAAAUAAUUACUCAACGAGCAUGAAAAGAAAGCUCCAUCAGCUGCAAGAAUCCGAAAGUCGGAUUCAAAGUGAUCACCAGAGGUUUGUUGCUAGAUUUCAAAAGCAACUGAUGCCUUCCCCUUCUGGUGUUUUGCCAAGUACCAGGGUGCCACAUGAUCAAUCUCCAGUGCCUCCCUCUUCUGGGAUACUUCCGAGUACUGAGGCUUCACAUGAGAAACCUUUGUGAAGGCUCCAUCAUGUUUGUUUGUUUUAACUCAUGUGUACGCACAUAUCUGUAAUUUCUCGGAGAUAUUAAUAGAUAAGCUUUAUUUCAUUCAGUUGUGCCAAAUACAACAAAGCAUAUACUUCACUAAGAUGUGGUACUUCUAGACCAAACAUUAAUUUAUCUUUACCCUCACGAAGAUAAAUGAUCAUUCUUAGUGUCUACAUCAUUUGAGUAUUCAACUCAUAAUCUUCAAUCCAUAUGGUUCUUUAAUAUCAUAAACAUCAUGGAUAAGAUUCGUAUUGGUAGAUUGUUCGAUCUGCAGCUCGAUACAAUAUUUCUCUCAACAAUUUAUAAUCUUUCUUGACUUUUCAGGAGUCUCAAUUUAAUAGCAUCAACUUCUUGCAAGAGAUUUUAGUAUGUUGGAACAAUAUCAUCAUGAUAGUACUCACUAAGGCAAUUUACAUAAUCCAUUGGUAUUGAAUACAUAUUUUAUGCUUUACCCUUCCGGGGUUUACUUCAAGCAAUUUGAAUCAUUCAAGGAUUUUCUACACUUCAUGAUACAUUUUCCUUUGGAAUUUAUACAGAGCAAUUUGCUCCCAUGUAUACUUGAGGGAUUUACUUAUGGAGAUAUGAUGUGGGCAACUCACAACCCUUCGUAUAUAAUUCUCCAUUCAUAUGAACUUGUUUACAAGAGUAUAAGUUCAGGUUUCAAUACCUUGUGUCAUAUCAUGUAAGUGUAUUUCACUAUAUUACAAAUGCCCAAUGUAACCUCCUUAGUUAAACAUCUUUUGGCUAUUUGUAUUAUAUUCAAGUAUAUAGGUCCAUUUUUCUACGUUCUUACAAAAUUGUAAUGGAAUUGCCUUUCUCCAUUUUGGCCAAUAAAUUUUGUUGACGAAAAAGAACGGGACUCAAUAUCAACAUAGCUCAUUGAUGAAUUUAGUAGCUACUUAUAAAAACCAAAAUUACCAUUGGUUAUCAUCAAUCUAUGAUCCCAUAUUCUCAUGUGCAUACGCAUGCAUACAAGCUUUUUAUUUCUUUGGAUAUCUAUUGCCUCUUCAAGGGUAUUACACUAUCUCUUCUAGGAUAGUCGUAAUUUAGAGAAUGCGGAUCAUAACCUCUUCUUGAGAGUUAUAGAGCUUGGAUUUUAAUCUCCACUUCCUGGAGUUGAGUCAUUGGAACCUAUACGUUUAUCAUGCUUCAUGCAUGAGACAUCAAUAUUCCCAUGUCCGCGGAUCGUCCUUUCUGGGACGUGUAUCCAUGCGGUGACUGUCAUGCUUCUGGCAUGCAACAGUUAUGCUUCGGGAAUACAAUAGUUUAGUAGUGCCAUAUUCUUCUUCUUUCGAAUGAAUGAACCUUUUGUGUCUAAGGGUCUGCCACACCUCAGGCGUGCAACAGAUAAAUCAUUUACUGCAUCAUAAUUUUGUCCAAUAGGGACAUCAAUUCUUGUAGGCACAUUUGCAGCAAGUAUAUCACUUUCGUUGCAUCAUUCAAUUAUUCUUACUUCAUUUUCUCAUUGAUUGCUUCGUGAAUCAUAAGACAAAUUCUCUUUGUUCUUCUGGAAUGGUUUUUUCUCAUCAUUAUUCUGGAAUGAUAUUUUCUUAUCGUUAUUUUGGAAUGAUAUUUUCUCCCCCUAACGGCGGGAAAAUUGUCUUAUCAAAAUGACAUUCCGCAAACCAUGAGGUAAACAUAUCCCUAGUCAAGGGUUCUAAAUAUUGAAUGAUAGAUGGUGAUCAACAUCAAUGCCCAAUCAGCGAUGAUGCCUUAUUUCAGUACGUUGUGGUAGUGCAAUAGGCAUAUAGAUAACACAACAAAAAACUCGUAAAUGUGUAAUGUUUGGCUGGUGCCUAAAUACGAGUUGUAUUGAGAAAUAUCGAUGGUUGGCAACUGGUCUCAACCAGACUUAAUAGUGAAUUAUGUAAAAUGACAUGUCCUCAUGUCAAAACUGGCAAUUUCGUUUUCAUGAGUAGAGCGCGGGUAAUCAAUUUCAUCCUCUUAAUAAAUACUUCUGCUAAACCAUUUUGAGUAUGGACAUAAGGAACUUUUGGUCCUUAUUAAAUAGUCUGUAGACUGAGACUCUUAUGUCCUUUAUUACAAUUAAGUUGAGGCACUGCGGCAUUUCAAACUUACGGUACUCAUCAAGGAAUUUCAUGUCCUGAUCUUCAGGAUCAAGGGACUUCAUACCUGAUCUUUUUGGGUGAUGAAACUUCCAAUCAUUUUAUAUGAUGAGGAUCAAGAAACUUCAGGUUUUGAUCUGAUCAAGGAAGUUUGGGCCCUAUAUAUACUUAUCGUAACAAAAGCUAAGUACAAUAAAUAAAUUAAAGCAAUAGGUGGUAAAUCCAGCCAUAGUAAAUAAAUUGCAUUUAAGUAAAUAAAUCUUGUGACAAGGGCUUUAAUUCAGCAUCAUUCACAUAAAUCAAAACUUAAAGCAGUAGGCUGUAAAACCGUCCAUGGUAAAUAAAUUGCUUUAAAGUAAAUAGAACUUAUGAAAGGAUUUUGAACCAACACCAUUCACAUAAAUCAAAACUUAAAGCAGUAGGCGGUAAAACCAUCCAUGAUAAAUAAAUUGCUUUAAAGUAAAUAGAACUUGUGAAAGGAUUUUAAACCAACACCAUUCGCAUAAAUCAAAACUUAAAGCAGUAGGCGGUAAAACCGUCCGUGAUAAAUAAAUUGCUUUAAAGUAAAUAGAACUUGUGAAAGUGCUUUAAGCCAACACCAUUCACAUAAAUAACAAUAACAUGAAAUAUAUAUAUUUUUCUUUUCAGAAUGGUGGUUCCAGAAAUCUUUAGAGAAAUGUUGUGGGUACUUUGUGUAUUAUUUCCCUCAUAAUCCUAUUCACACACAUGCGCACACCCAAUAUUAAUAAAGAUCACAUGCACCAUUCAAAGCCUUUUGGCUUUUUCCCCUUUUUGUUUUAUUAUAUUCCUCCCUUCACUUCUGUCGGGGCACCCAUCCAAAUUGUGCUUAUUUUAUUUUUUUUUUCUUUUCAGAAUGGUGCAGAUGCAUCAUUAGAAAUCUUUGUCCAAAAAUUCCACUUUUCCAAUUCUUUUUCUCACGGUGCUUGAAACACCAUUCCAUAAUCCCUCCUUCCUUUUUCUUAUUUGUCUGUCUGUACGAGUCUCAAACCCAGGGCCAUCUGGGUUGUUGUGGAGGUCACACAGAGCCAAUUCAAUCUUAUAAGGCAACCAGAGACUAACGUUGUUCUUGCAUGACCCAGAGAGCAUGGCGUCGCAAAGCAAUAACUUCCCUAUAGGGACAUAUAUGACAGCGGAGUUGAUGGAGGUACAAGAGAGGGAGGCCUAUGUGGAGUCAGUCUUGCCAUCACCAUCUCAGACAACCGAGUAUUCAUGGAGUUCUUGAGAUCCAUAAAAAACGACGCGAUCUGGGUUUCUAAGUCUGAUGAGAUUCUUCUGGAUCUCUGGAAACUAGUUGUCAAGUACGAGUUUUCUCAUCUCGUGACGACUUCAGGUCGUUGCAAAUUUCAAUUAUCACUGGAAUUUGGUGAGGCGCUUCAGGCGCAGUGGGAGAGACAGAAAAUGGACAUACCUUUUAUUAUGUGAUAUAUUGGCUAGCAGAGGUGAGAGGUAGGUAAUGCUUCACCGGAUUUAUGGCGUUAUGCUUUCUACUGACAUUAGAGCUUCUUGUGUUGAUAACGUGUUGUAAAAUCGACGGUGGGUGCAAUGGAAUAAAUGAAACAAGACACAAAAUUUACGAGGUUCCUCUACAGUCAGUGUGACUGGAGUACGUCCUCGGGGCAGCAGUAGUGCUUUCAUUAUAAUUUGGAAUAAUAGGAGUACAAUGAUAACUCUCUCUAUUAUCUCCUCUCCUCUUUCUCUUGUUUCUCUCUUCCUCUCUUCCUUCCUAUCUCUCCCAUGAGUCUCUCACUUCUCUCUUAGUUUUGUUGUGUUCCAUAAGACUUGCUUUUAUAGAAGCAAGUCACAAGCAACAUAGUGAAAAGCAAAUUAGUGGCCAGCCAUCUAGUCACCUUUACAACAAAAACCUAGCUUUCCAAAAAUGAAACGUUUUAGGCUUUAGCCAAGGUUUUCUCUAAUAGGUUGGAAUUGGGUAACAAGUCAACUUGCGGGUCACUAACCAGACCUUGCCGUAAAUUUUGAUUCCUACCACCAACAACAAUGAGGCUGUUGGCUUUGGAUUCAUAUCAUCGAUCCCAGUUGAUUCCCUUCACCCUAUUACCACUGUAGAUGACAUAAUUUAGCUCGUAAGCACUGGACACCCUAAAACAUUAUGUUACGUAAUCGUCAUUUCAGGCAAAGCACGUGGUGGCACACCACUUGUGUUGUGUAAUCCUCGUCCCCGUGAGAAAAACCCAUCUUUCAUAUCAAUCAUCGGACCUUUAACAAUGGUGCGAUAAGCCUCAGAAGUUUUGGGCACCGAGGCUUUGCCAGCCACUUCUUAAGGUCAGCACAUGUAUAAUUUUUCUUCUCCAUGUUGAGAUGUGCCCAUAUGUAAAAUUUGAUAGGAUUUGGAGUUGGACAGAAAACUGAGUUUUCGUUCAUAAAAAAAUCACCGCACGAGACGAUGCGUGGGAAAAGUUCAAAUGAUAUGGAUUUUAGAUAGGGAGAUAUUGUCGAUGCCUUGAGCCCAUAUCCAAUAUCGGUUUAUUGAAACUCAAUGCGAUGGUUCAAUUAUUUAAAUUUUGAGUUAAUUGUACCGUCAUUCGAUUUUAGUAAUUAACGACAAUCCGAAUGUUGGAUUUUUGUGAAAUUGGAAUAGGCUAUUCUUGAGGCUUGAUGGAGCUUAGCUAGCUCAUCACCCUGAUGUGUCUUUCUUAGUUGACGUUUGUCUCCUUUACAUACAAGUAGCAUUGUGCCUUAUUUUGCGUGUCAAUCUUGAUAAGAUUCAAGUGGAGUUUCAUGUACAAUAUUAGGUUCUAUCAGAGCAUUGUCGGCUCAUCACGAACACGUGAUGUCUUAGUGACGUGCACAUCAUUUUGCAUGACGAUUCAAUUGUUGAUUCUGGAAGUGCAUAAGACUCAAGGUGUGUGAUUUUAAUAUUAUGUGAUAAACUAUUUUGCAUAUUAAAAUUCUUGUGUUAUAUACUUUGUGGAUGUAGCAUGGAUUUAUAAUUGUUUUGUUACACAAUCAUCGAUCUACUUUGUGAAAUGUAUAUUUAUAUGCAUGUUUGAAAGACUUGUGAACUGAGAAGGCUAGUAGAGGACUAGUAUCCUAAAAUACUUUCUCUUUGAUUUCAUGUGUGGAUCUUAAAUCUCUAGGGACUUACCUUUCUUUUUUAUUCAUUGAGUGCGUCUGGCAUCUUGCUAAUACUCUAUGUAUGAAUGCCAUUAAGUGCGUUAGGAUCCCAACAUUCUAUUCGGUUCCAUUGAGUGUGUCUAGAACCGUUCAUCACAUGGUUCUAUAGAGUGCAUCUGGAAGCCUAUUUCUUAUCUUGUGUGCCCUUUCUAUCCAACUCCAUGAGUACGUCUAGAAUGUGGAACGUUGUGCUUUGUUAUACAAAGGAUUUGUGAAAUAUACGAGAUAGGAAAUAGAAUUUGUGAGUGAGGUUACCUUUUAUAUACAAAGGAUUUGUGAAAUAUUUUACACCUGGAUUGACUUUUUAAUCACAUAUGUCGUUUUACUGUCACUCAAAUAAGCCUUGCAGCUUAUUCGGAUUUUUGCUUUGCCUGGUGCACCGUUCCUACGAUGUAUGUAGGAUUGUUUUCUUACACAGUACUAGUAGUGGUUAAUGAAGAGGAUUUCAAGAGGUGUAGUUGGUGUAUGCAGUGCACUAGAUAGUGGGGUUUGUUACCCUUCUUUUAAUUCCGUUUCCACUAAAUAUUUGGUGUAUAUUAUGUAUGCGUCCCAGUUCACUCUAUAUGUUAUUGUACCACUACUUUCUGCUGCCACAUGUCGAUCCUGAAAGUAUCUUCGGGUGUGACACCCAAGCUAUCACCAUCCCUGCUUCUAUGGAGCUUGAACUCUGGGGAAGCAUGCAAGCUUUCGCGGCUAUGGAGCUUUGCAUGGAGAGAAAGGGUAUGGAAGGGAGGAGAAUCUAAUGAAAUCUUUGGGAGAGGGUGGAUUGUUCAUAGCGUUCAACAUGUAUAUUUUCUAUUAUAAAAUCCACCAAAAUCUACAAUUUCAUAAUAUCCUAUCAAAUUGUAACUUUCUACUACACCUAGAUUUGAUACACUUACUUAAGCCCCAUUAAAAUUCUAAUUGCCUACUCUAGAAUUUUAAAAUCCUAAUCGCAAAUAUUUUUGUAAAGAGGUUUGUUUUUUUUUAUGCCAACAAUUGAUUAUGACAAAAAUCGUUUACAUCUGUGAUUAAAUUACGUUUGCGAGACGUACAAUAAUAAAUUUGCGCACAUCAACGAUGGAUGAUGAAUUGUUUACAUAAUGUUCUUCUAAUUUUUUUUUUGUUUGAGUACUUAUUUUGAAUUUAACCAAACUAUAUGGAUACAACUAAAUUGCAAUUUUUUUGUUUUGACAAAUGAUAGAAUAACUUCCUUUCUCUCUCCGUGAGAGACCUUCCCUCUGUGUGAGGUUUAUUCUCACCGAUCUGUGUGAGUAUUUCUCCAUCGCGUUCAAUUCCGGCGCCGCCGGUCCUAGCUACGGCUGGGAUCGGUGGGUUUUCUUUUGUUUCUUUCUCCUUCUCUUUCUCCUCUUCCUUUCGCCGUUUUCUUCCCUGGGUUUAUUGGCCGAUUUGCCUUCUUCUCUCCCCUUUACUGUCUCUCCUCUGACUUCCUCCAACUUCCAAGCUUCAGUCUCCCUUUGUAGCACUUUGUUGCGAUGUUUUGAGUUGGUGUGCUUUGAUCUGGUGCUUGCUGAUGUGAAAAUUACUUGACACACAAAUUAAACCCUAUUGAUGACAAUUGUAGUAAUGAUGUAAGUAGGGAUCGUUCUAGACCGGGGAUUAACUAGGGAUGCUAAUCAACAAAUAUAAGACUCAAAAACACUAAACUAGACUCUAUAAACUCAAAACUAACUUAAAACACUCAAAACAACAAAUAACAAUAAAAAAGAUUCAAUUCUAGACCUAACAAGUGAUUUGGACGAAAAUAUAACUUUAAA
rnacentral:lncRNA from 1 species